rfam:Moniliophthora roreri strain MCA 2952 kmer90.96677, whole genome shotgun sequence.
GUGCUCGUAACUCAGUGGUAGAGUGUGAGAUUUCAAUGCAUAUUCACACCCCGGUAUAAUCGAUCUCGAAGUCGCGUGUUAGAACCACGCCGGGCACU